AUGGCGGAGGAACCGUCCGCCAAGCAUCACCAUGGCGAGACUUCAAACAAGAGCAGCAACCUCGUCGACGUUCACGUCCCCGACGAGAAGCACGAGUACACCAAAAUACUCAAAGGGGUUGAGCUCCACGGCAAGGAGAUGUUGGAGAUCGUCUGCACCAGCAAACCAGACAAGGCCGACGAGAUGAUGAGCAGGCUCAGGAUGAAGGGCGGCGGCUUAUAUCCGAGCUUCAUCGGAGUUGAUGUGGAGCCCAAGCGCCUCAAAGACUUCCUGCAGGAGGAGAAAUUGUACACAUUUGUUGGUUUCAGCAUUGGAGGUGACAAGCGGAUGCUGCAGGAGUCUGGUUUGGAAAUCAACCCCAACAACUUCAUCGACAUGCAGCGCAAGUGGAAAGAUCCAAAGACCAAAAAAUACUACGACUCCUUGGCCGAUGUUGCAGGCGGCGUCAUCCACCCAUUCUACGAAGGCAUGAAGAAGAAGAUGAACAUGGCAGGCCACAAACUGUGGGGGACCAGCCCGCUGCCAAACAACCUCAUCACGUACGCAGGAAUAGAUGCGUAUGCAACGUACAAGUCAUGGAAGACAAUCAACAACAUCGUGACAGAUUGGGAUAUUUCAAAAGAGCAGGAGGCUGACCCCUACUACCACUGCAACUUCGCGGAUGAAGAUGCAUGA
rnacentral:rRNA from 1 species